UGUUCAUCUGUGGUCUCUGCAUUUCCACUUUUCUCUGCAUGUUUCACACCUUUCAAACUGUCUCUUGACACGAAGCGGAAGCGUUUCUCACAAGCGAGUGUCAGCGUGGACGUGAGGAUGGGACACACCUUGUUUGGUGCGUUGGGGCUUUUCUCGCUGAAUAUUCUCCUCUACUGUGGACACGCUCAAGAUGCUUUGCUGCAUAUUGAGCCAAACUAGUCACUUUUAUUUACUGGAGAGAAAUUUACCUUCAUAUGUGACUCAAGGGAAGGAAACGACACUGACUGGAAUUACU